GUAGGUGGCAAGCGUUGUCCGGAAUUAUUGGGCGUAAAGCGCGCGCAGGCGGUUCUUUAAGUCUGAUGUGAAAGCCCACGGCUCAACCGUGGAGGGUCAUUGGAAACUGGAGAACUUGAGUAUAGAAGAGGAAAGCGGAAUUCCACGUGUAGCGGUGAAAUGCGUAGAGAUGUGGAGGAACACCAGUGGCGAAGGCGGCUUUCUGGUCUGUAACUGACGCUGAGGCGCGAAAGCGUGGGGAGCAAACAGGGAUUAGAUACCCUGGUAGUCCACGCCGUAAACGAUGAGUGCUAAGUGUUAGGGGGUUUCCGCCCCCUUAGUGCUGCAGCUAACGCAUUAAGCACUCCGCCUGGGGAGUACGGCCGCAAGGCUG
rnacentral:rRNA from 1 species